rnacentral:misc_RNA from 1 species
GGGAAAGUUUGUUUACCUAUCCUUUUGUUUAUCGUACUCUUUUAUGUUUCUAUUAUUACUUUUUUCCUUCUUAAUUUUUAUAGAUUGUAAACCAAGAAAAAACGAAUAUGAAAGUUUUCUUUCUUUAUUUCCAUUGUUGUUGAUAGUUAUAGUUUUAAAAGAGUUUUUUUUUCAUUUAUUUGUAAAACAGAGCACAAAAGAUUGUUAUUUGUACACAGGCCGCUUAUUCUCAAUUUCUCGAAGUUUCUCUUCGUCUUCUGCUUCUUUAGGAAUGAUUUUCUGAAUGAUUAAUA